rnacentral:rRNA from 1 species
CCCGGGCCUUGUACACACCGCCCGUCACGUCAUGAAAGUCGGCAACGCCCGAAGCCGGUGGCCUAACCCUUGUGGAGGGAGCCGUCGAAGGUGGGGCUGGCGAUUAGGACG